GAGGGUAUAGCUCAGUGGUAGAGCGGGUGCCUAGCAUGUUCCAGGUCCUAAGUUCCAUCCCCAGUACCUCUA
rnacentral:tRNA from 1 species